rnacentral:siRNA from 1 species
GUAAACCCGUGAUUUUCCGCCA